rnacentral:rRNA from 1 species
AUCCACCUGGGGAGUACGGCCGCAAGGUUGAAACUCAAAGGAAUUGACGGGGGCCCGCACAAGCGGAGGAACAUGUGGUUUAAUUCGAUGAUACGCGAGGAACCUUACCUGGGCUUAAAUGUAGAGUGCAUGAGGUGGAAACACUUCUUUCCUUCGGGACUCUUUGCAAGGUGCUGCAUGGUUGUCGUCAGCUCGUGCCGUGAGGUGUCGGGUUAAGUCCCAUAACGAGCGCAACCCUUAUCGUUAGUUGCCAGCGGGUAAAGCCGGGGACUCUAGCGAAACUGCCACCGUAAGGUGAGAGGAAGGUGGGGAUGACGUCAAAUCAGCACGGCCCUUAUGUCCAGGGCUACACACGUGUUACAAUGGCCGGCACAGAGGGCAGCUACCUGGUGACAGGAUGCUAAUCUCGAAAACCGGUCUCAGUUCGGAUCGAAGUCUGCAACUCGACUUCGUGAAGCUGGAUUCGCUAGUAAUCGCGCAUCAGCCAUGGCGCGGUGAAUACGUUCCCGGGCCUUGUACACACCGCCCGUCAAGCCAUGGAAGCUGGGGGUGCCUGAAGUACGUAACCGCAAGGAGCGUCCUAGGGUAAAACUAGUGACUGGGGCUAAGUCGUAACAAGGUAGCC